CGCCGACGUAUUCACAAGCACCUCUCUGUCUUUCACGAAAUGCACAUCAUAUCUGAAAAGGACAAUGUUCUUCGCCGCACUCUUCACUCCAUGUCAAACUCUCUCAUGGACCUAGGGCUGCAAAUGAUGUCGAACGGCUUGUCGAUGCUAUCCUGCAGUAUUGUUAUCUGCCCUUCCUUGAGGAGUAUGUCUUCGUCCAAGGCUUCAAUCUUCUUCUUCAGUGACACGACCUCGUUCUGCAUGAUGUUGAUGUUUCGUCUGAGCUGCUUGGAUUCCUGCCAGGAAAGGUCCCUCUCCUCAGUCACUGUUUUCAGUGUUCCGCGUAGAGACGCAAGCUCCUUGGCAGAUUCCUGCAAGUCCUG
rnacentral:misc_RNA from 1 species